GCCAGAGAGGGUGAGAGCCCCGUAAGCGAAAUCCAAAGAAGGCCUAUCAGUAUCCUGAGUAGGGCGGGACACGUGAAAUCCCGUUUGAAUCCGCGAGGACCAUCUCGCAAGGCUAAAUACUAACCAGUGACCGAUAGUGAACCAGUACCGUGAGGGAAAGGUGAAAAGAACCCCGGGAGGGGAGUGAAAGAGAACCUGAAACCGUGUGCCUACAAGUAGUCAGAGCCCGUUAACGGGUAAUGGCGUGCCUUUUGUAGAAUGAACCGGCGAGUUGCGUUAGUCAGCAAGGUUAAGUCAGAAAAGACGGAGCCGCAGCGAAAGCGAGUCUGAAGAGGGCGAGCAGUUGGCUGAUGCAGACCCGAAACCAAGUGACCUACCCAUGACCAGGUUGAAGGCGCGGUAAAACGCGCUGGAGGACCGAACCCACGUAAGUUGAAAAUUGCGGGGAUGAGUUGUGGGUAGCGGUGAAAUUCCAAACGAACUUGGAGAUAGCUGGUUCUCUCCGAAAUAGCUUUAGGGCUAGCCUCGCAAAGAGGAUGCUGGAGGUAGAGCUCUGUUUGGACUAGGGGCCCGUCAAGGGUUACUGAAUUCAGAUAAACUGCGAAUUCCAGACAUUUAUGUGCGGGAGUCAGACUGCGAGUGAUAAGAUCCGUAGUCGAAAGGGAAACAGCCCAGAUCACCAGUUAAGGUCCCAAAAUUCAUGCUAAGUGGAAAAGGAUGUGGAGUUGCGCAGACAACUAGGACGUUGGCUCAGAAGCAGCCAUCAUUCAAAGAGUGCGUAAUAGCUCACUAGUCGAGUGACGCCGCGCCGAAAAUUUACCGGGGCUAAGCAUGAUACCGAAACUGUGGAUGUGCAUUUAUGCACGUGGUAGGAGAGCGUUCUAGCGGCGGUGAAGCAUGACCGAGAGGACAUGUGGAGCUUCUAGAAGUGAGAAUGCCGGUAUGAGUAACGAAAGACAGGUGAGAAUCCUGUCCGCCGCAAGACUAAGGUUUCCUGGGGCAGGCUCGUCCGCCCAGGGUAAGUCGGGACCUAAGGCGAGGCCGAGAGGCGUAGUCGAUGGACAACAGGUUGAAAUUCCUGUACUGCACCGAAUCGUUAUGAGCGAUGGAGGGACGCAGGAGGCUAGCAGCGCGUGGUGCUGGAUACCACGUUCAAGCGUCAAGUCUGAGAGCGAGUCAAAUGCUUGCUUUCAUAAAGGACAAGGCGUGAUGAGGAGCGAAAUUAAAGUAGCGAAGGCUGCGACGUCACACUGCCGAGAAAAGCUUCUAGCCAGAAACGGUGCACCCGUACCGCAAACCGACACAGGUAGUCGAGGAGAGUAUCCUCAGGUGAGCGAGAGAACUCUCGUUAAGGAACUCGGCAAAAUGGCCCCGUAACUUCGGGAGAAGGGGCGCUGGUCGCAAGAUCAGCCGCAGUGAAAAGGCCCAAGCAACUGUUUAUCAAAAACACAGGCAUCUGCAAAAUCGUAAGAUGAAGUAUAGGUGCUGACACCUGCCCGGUGCUGGAAGGUUAAGAGGAGAGCUUAGCGCAAGCGAAGGUUUGAAUUGAAGCCCCAGUAAACGGCGGCCGUAACUAUAACGGUCCUAAGGUAGCGAAAUUCCUUGUCGGGUAAGUUCCGACCUGCACGAAAGGUGUAAUGAUUUGGGCACUGUCUCAACGAGAGACUCGGUGAAAUUAUAAUACCCGUGAAGAUGCGGGUUACCCGCGACAGGACGGAAAGACCCCAUGGAGCUUUACUGCAGUUUAAUAUUGGGUAUCUGUCAAGCAUGUACAGGAUAGGUAGGAGCCGGAGAAGAUAGGACGCCAGUCUUAUCAGAGGCGCUGUUGGGAUACUACCCUUGCUUGACGGAUGCUCUAACUCAGGCCUGUGAUCCAGGCCGAGGACAGUGUUUGACGGGCAGUUUGACUGGGGCGGUCGCCUCCUAAAGUGUAACGGAGGCGCCCAAAGGUUCCCUCAGAAUGGUUGGAAAUCAUUCGCAGAGUGUAAAGGCAAAAGGGAGCUUGACUGCGAGAGAGACAACUCGAGCAGGUACGAAAGUAGGGCUUAGUGAUCUGGUGGUACCGCAUGGAAGGGCCAUCACUCAACGGAUAAAAGCUACCCUGGGGAUAACAGGCUUAUCUCCCCCAAGAGUUCACAUCGACGGGGAGGUUUGGCACCUCGAUGUCGGCUCGUCGCAUCCUGGGGCUGAAGUCGGUCCCAAGGGUUGGGCUGUUCGCCCAUUAAAGCGGCACGCGAGCUGGGUUCAGAACGUCGUGAGACAGUUCGGUCCCUAUCCGUCGUGGGCGCAGGAAAUUUGAGAGGAGCUGUCCUUAGUACGAGAGGACCGGGAUGGACGCACCGCUGGUGUACCAGUUGUCUUGCCAAAGGCAUCGCUGGGUAGCUAUGUGCGGACGGGAUAAGCGCUGAAAGCAUCUAAGUGCGAAGCCCCCCUCAAGAUGAGAUUUCCCAUUUCUUCAAGAAAGUAAGACACCUCAGAGACGAUGAGGUAGAUAGGCCGGGAGUGGAAGAGCCGUGAGGCUUGGAGCGGACCGGUACUAAUCAGUCGAGGACUUGACCAAA
rnacentral:rRNA from 1 species